rnacentral:rRNA from 1 species
AGAGACAGCAGCCGCCGCGGUAAGACAGAGGAUGCAAGCGUUAUCCGGAUUUAUUGGGCGUAAAGCGCGUCUAGGUGGUUAUGUAAGUCUGAUGUGAAAAUGCAGGGCUCAACUCUGUAUUGCGUUGGAAACUGUGUAACUAGAGUACUGGAGAGGUAAGCGGAACUACAAGUGUAGAGGUGAAAUUCGUAGAUAUUUGUAGGAAUGCCGAUGGGGAAGCCAGCUUACUGGACAGAUACUGACGCUAAAGCGCGAAAGCGUGGGUAGCAAACAGGAUUAGAUACCCCAGUAGUCCCUGUCUCUUAUACC